rnacentral:rRNA from 1 species
UACGUAGGCAGCGAGCGUUGUUCGGAGUUACUGGGCGUAAAGGGUGUGUAGGCGGUUUUCUAAGUUUGGUGUGAAAUCUCCCGGCUCAACCGGGAGGGUGCGCCGAAAACUGGGAGACUAGAGUGGGGGAUGGGAGAGUAGAAUUCCUGGUGUAGCGGUGAAAUGCGUAGAUAUCAGGAGGAAUACCGGUGGUGAAGACGGCUCUCUGGACCGCCACUGACGCUGAGACACGAAAGCGUGGGUAGCAAACAGG